CCUACGGGAGGCAGCAGUGAGGAAUAUUGGUCAAUGGGCGCGAGCCUGAACCAGCCAAGUCGCGUGAGGGAUGACGGUCCUAUGGAUUGUAAACCUCUUUUGUCGGGGAGCAAAAGCCGCCACGCGUGGCGUUCCGAGAGUACCCGAAGAAAAAGCAUCGGCUAACUCCGUGCCAGCAGCCGCGGUAAUACGGAGGAUGCGAGCGUUAUCCGGAUUUAUUGGGUUUAAAGGGUGCGCAGGCGGAAGGUCAAGUCAGCGGUAAAAUUGCGGGGCUCAACCUCGUCGAGCCGUUGAAACUGGUUUGCUUGAGUGAGUGAGAAGUAUGCGGAAUGCGUGGUGUAGCGGUGAAAUGCAUAGAUAUCACGCAGAACUCCGAUUGCGAAGGCAGCAUACCGGCGCUCAACUGACGCUGAUGCACGAAAGUGUGGGUAUCGAACAGGAUUAGAUACCCGUGUAGUC
rnacentral:rRNA from 1 species